UGGGGAAUAUUGCACAAUGGGGGAAACCCUGAUGCAGCGACGCCGCGUGAACGAAGAAGGUAUUCGUAUCGUAAAGUUCUGUCCUAUGGGAAGAUAAUGACAGUACCAUAGAAGAAAGCUCCGGCUACAUACGUGCCAGCAGCCGCGGUAAUACGUAUGGAGCGAGCGUUGUCCGGAAUUAUUGGGCGUAAAGGGUACGCAGGCGGUUUAAUAAGUCGAAUGUUAAAGAUCGGGGCUCAACCCCGUAAAGCAUUGGAAACUGAUAAACUGGAGUAGUGGAGAGGAAAGUGGAAUUCCUAGUGUAGUGGUGAAAUACGUAGAUAUGAGGAGGAAGAGCAGAAGCGAAGGCGACUUUCUGGACACAAACUGACGCUGAGGUACGAAAGCGUGGGGAGCAAACAGG
rnacentral:rRNA from 1 species